rnacentral:rRNA from 1 species
UGGGGAAUAUUGCACAAUGGAGGGAACUCUGAUGCAGCGACGCCGCGUGAACGAAGAAGGCUUUCGAGUCGUAAAGUUCUUUUAUAUGGGAAGAUAAUGACGGUACCAUAAGAAAAAGCCCCGGCUAACUACGUGCCAGCAGCCGCGGUAAUACGUAGGGGGCUAGCGUUGUCCGGAAUCACUGGGCGUAAAGGGUUCGCAGGCGGAAAUGCAAGUCAGGUGUAAAAGGCAGUAGCUUAACUACUGUAAGCAUUUGAAACUGCAUAUCUUGAGAAGGGUAGAGGUAAGUGGAAUUUUUAGUGUAGCGGUGAAAUGAGUAGAUAUUAAAAAGAAUACCGGUGGCGAAAGCGGCUUACUGGGCUCAUUCUGACGCUGAGGAACGAAAGCAUGGGUAGCAAACAGG